UCCGUAGGUGAACCUGGGGAAGGAUCAUUAAUAAAUGGCGAAGCUUUCGAGCCUAGCUUUUAUCAUCCUAUACACCUGUGAACUAUUUGCCUUCGGGCACCAAACAAACAUAAUGUAAUGAAUGUAAUCUACUAUAAUAAAUACAACUUUCAACAACGGAUCUCUUGGCUCUCACAUCGAUGAAGAACGCAGCGAAAUGCGAUAAGUAAUGUGAAUUGCAGAAUUCAGUGAAUCAUCGAAUCUUUGAACGCAAAUUGCGCCCUUUGGUAUUCCGAAGGGCAUGCCUGUUUGAGUGUCUUAUAAACCUCACCCCUAAUGUUUCAUUACAAUAGGUUGGUGCUUUGGGUGUUGCCAUUUACCUGGCUCGCCUUAAAUGUCUAAGUGGAAUGCGUAAUAAGUUCUCGCAACCCUCCACUCUAAUACAAUUUAUAUUCUGACCUCAAAUCAGGUAGGACUACCCGCUGAACUUAAGCAUAUCAAUAAGCGGAGGA
rnacentral:rRNA from 1 species